ACACGUCACUCUCAAUCGAAGACAGAGUUAAGGAUAUCGUUGAUAAUCUUACUUUGGAAGAGCUAGUGGAACAAAUGGCACAUGGUGGUGCUACUUUAAAUGGUCCAGCUCCAGGGAUUCCACGGCUGCAUAUAAACCCCUACCAGUGGGGUACUGAGUGUCUCUCUGGAGAUGUUAGUGCUGGAGAUGCAACAUCCUUUCCAAUGCCUAUAGGAAUGGUAAG